GCCGGCGGUCGCGGAACUGACGUCAUUGCCGUGCGCUGCCACGUCUGCUCAGCUCCGCGGUAAUGGAGGCUGAGGUUGAGUGCUGACGGGGCCGGGCGCUUCCUUUAGCUUUAGCUCUGGCUCUGACUCUGGCACUGACCUGGGGCUGGGGCGGGGGCUGGCAGCCCGAAGCCUGGACACCUUUUCUCAACUUUCCGGUCGGGGACGGCCUGCGGACAAGCUUCUCGUUUGGAGCUCUUCAACGCGGGGAGGGAAUUCUCUUGCCUGGGGUCCAGCCUGUAAAGCCGCCGCCUCCUCCCAGGGAUCCCGCCACACCGGCCGGGCCUCCUCCAUGCAGUUGAAACAGGUUGACAGCCAUUAACCUGGAUUGCAACUACAGGUGGCACUGGAAGCAGAUUGGUUCCCGGACAUGCCCGGUGGAAGGAGGGGCCCUAGUCGGCAGCAGCUAAGCCGUACAGCUUUACCUUCUUUACAGACUUUGGUUGGUGGGGGCUGUGGCAAUGGAACAGGCCUGAGAAACAGGAAUGGUAGUGCUAUUGGCCUUCCGGUCCCACCUAUCACAGCCUUAAUCACCCCAGGUCCUGUUCGUCAUUGCCAAAUUCCUGAUUUGCCUGUGGAUGGGAGCCUGCUCUUUGAAUUUCUCUUUUUCAUCUACCUGCUGGUUGCUCUGUUCAUCCAAUACAUCAAUAUCUACAAAACAGUGUGGUGGUAUCCUUACAAUCAUCCUGCUUCUUGUACUUCACUGAAUUUUCAUCUCAUUGAUUACCACCUGGCAGCAUUCAUCACAGUGAUGCUUGCAAGGAGGCUUGUAUGGGCCCUCAUCUCAGAGGCCACUAAGGCGGGUGCGGCAUCUAUGAUUCACUACAUGGUUCUGAUAUCAGCUCGUUUGGUGCUACUUACUUUAUGUGGAUGGGUACUUUGUUGGACCCUCGUCAAUCUCUUCCGAAGCCAUUCAGUGCUCAAUCUCCUUUUCCUUGGCUACCCGUUUGGUGUUUAUGUUCCUCUCUGCUGUUUCCACCAAGAUAGUAGAGCUCAUCUUCUUCUCACAGACUAUAACUACAUGGUUCAGCACCAGGCAGUAGAAGAGAGUGCCUCAACUGUGGGUGGCUUGGCCAAAUCCAAAGACUUUCUCUCCUUACUGCUGGAGUCCCUAAAAGAACAGUUUAAUAAUGCCACGCCCAUCCCCACCCACAGCUGCCCCCUAUCUCCAGACCUCAUUCGCAAUGAAGUAGAGUGUCUGAAAGCUGAUUUCAACCACAGAAUCAAGGAAGUUCUCUUCAACUCCCUCUUCAGUGCCUACUAUGUCGCAUUUCUACCCCUGUGUUUUGUGAAGAGUACCCAGUACUAUGACAUGCGCUGGUCAUGUGAACACCUCAUUAUGGUGUGGAUCAAUGCUUUUGUCAUGCUCACCACACAACUUCUGCCAUCCAAAUACUGUGAUUUGCUACAUAAAUCAGCUGCUCACCUGGGCAAGUGGCAGAAGCUCGAACAUGGGUCCUACAGCAAUGCUCCACAGCACAUUUGGUCAGAAAAUACAAUAUGGCCUCAAGGGGUGCUGGUGCGACACAGCAGAUGUUUAUAUAGAGCCAUGGGGCCUUACAACGUGGCAGUGCCUUCAGACGUAUCCCAUGCCCGCUUUUAUGCAAGUACCACUUAUUUCUUUUCAAACAUAAACUUAGUGGUAAGCAUCAGGAGGCCUCUCUGUGCGUAAGCACCUAGCACAGUGCGUAGCACAUACGGAAAUUGAUACAUGGUAAUUAUCACUACUAGUAUAAUAGUCCCUGUCUUUUGGAAGUGUAUUCUGAAAGGCAGUUUUAAGGUCAAAUACCAUUAUCCCAGCUUCAGCAGCUUGAAGUUACACUGGAAUUUGUUGAGUCUAGUAUUACUUGAAACAAGUAGGCAAUUAUUUAAGACUUGUUUCAUCUUACAAUAUUUAUUUGUAAUAGUUUGGUUUAGUGGUAUCUUUAUUAUAUUGUAUUGUGUAUUCUUAAGUGACAUUUGAUGUAGUAAUGUAAUGUUUUUGUUUUGUUUUUUGUAUUUGUCAUACAUAUCACCUCCUUAAAUUACCUUGACUUCCCUUAUCAAAGUAAGACAAAUGCCAUGAUCUCUGGCCUUUUACUUUUUCUGGAUUAAAAGGGGAAAAGGUUUAUAAGUUAAAAAGGAAGAAGCAGUAGACAUCCACUAGACAUCUAGCUGGACAUCCCAGCUUCUGUCCCAUUUGAAUUUAUACCUUGGAUUAUGUUCUAUUUGAUCUUUUCAGUGUCCAGGAAAUUCUGACUCUAGGAGGCAACAGUAUUAACUUAUAAGAGAAAAGCCAGCUGAUCAGUGGCAGUGGGAAAAAGAAGGUGCAUACAGAGGACUGUUCAUAGUGCAGGGCAUUGCCUUUGAAUGAAGAUUACAUUCUAAGAAAGAAUUGGAGGCCUUUUUGGGGGAUACUUGAAUCUCUUCCUCCCUCCCAGUUCCGUGGGAGUGUACAUUGGCUUUCUGGUUAGGUAGGCGUUUGCUACUAAGGCCUUUCAAUUAAGUACUGGGAACUCUGUAUCAGGACUGGAUGCUUGUAAAUACCAUUGUGGAAGGUGGGGCUGGGUGGGGGCUGGGAGGAGCACGGAGAAGGUGAAAGGCCCUUGAAUGAGGAAACUACCAGCAACUCCUUCCAGACUCCUAAGGGGUUGCCUUAAGAUGGAAGAGUAGACUUAAGUCACAGCUGCAUAAUCAUUUGGUUUCUACACAGAAUAUUUAAUUCAGUCAGCUGACUUCCACAGGCCAUUAAUGACUUCUGUUGGCCUGGGCAGUCCCCUUGAAACCUAUAAUGACCAGGUAUUCUACUGGAGUUUUCUGCUUGAAAAAUAAGUGUUUUCCUUGCUAGUGUGUUGAACAGCUGAAGCACUGGGCAAAAUCCAAAGAAUAAGGAUUAGGGAAGUUAACUUAUUACCUGACUUUGCAUGACCAAACAGGUAAAUCAGUGCUUCUCAAAGCGGUCCUUGAGCCACUUGCAUGUAAAUCACCUGGCCCACUCCUUAAAGUGAUUCAGGACCCCUACCCCAGACUUCUGAAUCAGAGUCUCUGAAGGAUUCCAGGAGUUUGCAGCAUUUACAGAUUUGGAAAUGAUUCUUAGGAACACUGAAGUUUGAGAACGCUCAUUUAAAAUAUGCCUACUACCUGUAACUGUUAGAAUUUAAAGCCUUUCCUCACCAUUCUGCUCAUUCAGUUUAUAGCUUAGUGGCACAUUUAAUUUUAAUUGCUAGAAUUGCCACAGAAACUCCAAUUGCCUGGGUCCUUUUAGAGUAUUAAAUCUGAGCCAAUUUUAUACAUUCUAUUACUAAAUAUCAUAUACUAGAACCCAGGGUAAACAGUUCCUUUCUCCCAAAGAAGGACCCUAAGAACCUGGCUACCUUUCAUGAUAAUUAGGCUUUAUUCUCAAAUUUGUGCCUUGAGGUCCAAAUUAGUUUAUUUAGAUAUGAUAUAUCACCAUUGCUACAAUUUGCACCCUAUGACCUCUAUCUUUCUAUUCAUAAUGCAUUUUUAUUAGUAAACCAGGAUUUAGCCACUUAAAAAAUUUGGUAGAGGGGCGCCUGGGUGGCUCAGUCAGUUAGGCGUCCGACUUCGGCUCAGGUCACGAUCUCACGGUCUGUGAGUUCGAGCCCCGCGUUGGGCUCUGUGCUGACUGCUCAGAGCCUGGAGCCUGUUUCGGAUUCUGUGUCUCCCUCUCUCUCUGACCCUCCCCUGUCCAUGCUCUGUCUCUCUCUGUCUCAAAAUAAAUAAACGUUAAAAAAAAAAUUAAAAAUAAAUAAAUAAAUAAAUAAAUAAAUAAAUAAUUUGGUAGAAGUGAAUACAGCAGCCCUGUUUUUAGCCAAACUCUAAUUCUGACUGAAUUUUCCUUCUUUCCUCAUCGUCCUGUAUGUGCACCCUAUUUCUCAAUAUCCAGAAAAAAAAAUCCAGCAGAAAUUUAUGAUGUAGAGGAUUUGAGUCAUUGAUGAUGUUCCUAUUUCAUCGUCCAUUAAGGCUGUUAAAUCUGCUUAUCCUUAUUGAGGGCAGUGUCGUCUUCUACC